rnacentral:rRNA from 1 species
UGGGGAAUUUUACACAAUGGGGGAAACCCUGAUGUAGCGACACCGCGUGAACGAAGAAGCCUUUUGGGGUGUAAAGUUCUGUCGGCUGGAACGAAAAAAUGACGGUACCAGCAAAGGAAGCAUCGGCUAACUACGUGCCAGCAGCCGCGGUAAGACGUAGGAUGCAAGCGUUGUCCGGAUUUAUUGGGCGUAAAGAGUUCGUAGGCGGUUAUUUAAGUCUGAUGUUAAAUACUGUGGCCCAACCACAGAACUGCAUUGGAUACUGGAUGACUUGAGUGCGGUAGAGGCAAGUGGAAUUCCCAGCGUAGCGGUGAAAUGCGUAGAUAUUGGGAAGAACACCAGUGGCGUAAGCGACUUGCUGGCCCGUAACUGACGCUGAGGAACGAAAGCCAGGGGAGCGAAUGGGAUUAGAUACCCCCGUAGUCCCUGAGCGGGCUGGCAAGGCGCAU